rnacentral:rRNA from 1 species
UACGGAGGAUCCGAGCGUUAUCCGGAUUUAUUGGGUUUAAAGGGUGCGUAGGUGGUUUGAUAAGUCAGCGGUGAAAGUUUGCAGCUUAACUGUAAAAUGCCGUUGAAACUGUCGGACUUGAGUGUAAAUGAGGUAGGCGGAAUGCGUGGUGUAGCGGUGAAAUGCAUAGAUAUCACGCAGAACUCCGAUUGCGAAGGCAGCUUACUAAGCUACAACUGACACUGAAGCACGAAAGCGUGGGGAUCAAACAGG